rnacentral:misc_RNA from 1 species
UCAGAACUGACACUGAAAAAUAUCGCGGGGAUGGCUGUCGCGGUCGCUGCGAUGGUCGUGUACAACUGGGCAGUUGAGGUGGAGAAGCAAACCACCGCCAAGAGCUCGCUCACGAAAACCAGCCUCACUGAAGAGGAGUUCCGGCUGUUGAGGGAAGGGGCAGAGAAUUCGCUAUUGGAAGAUGUCGAGCUAGGAGUUGUUAAGGGAUAGUUCUGUCUGA